UAUUCUUCCUACUUGGGUGAUGGGAUUGAACCUGGCAACCUUGUGCGCGCUCAACGAGUGACGUCAGAGGAGAGUUUACGGUUUUUCCCCUCAGAGACACACCUAAACAACAGGACCUUGCCCCAGGACGACAGAUUUGAACUGCGGAUGGUUUUGUCGAUCGUUUGAUGAGAAAAUUCAUGAAUGCGAAGCCAACAGAGCAACUUGUUGAAGGCAGAAGAGAUGUUAUGAUCAUGUCAUCAUGCUUGAUGGAGGGUCUGGAGAGGAACUUAUCAAAGACCACCAGACAAUGUCAACAGCUGUCAAGAGCUCAGUGCUGUCAAGCUCUGGCCAAGCUUGGCACAGCUGAUGCAUUCAGUGGAGGGAGAAGAGAGGUGAGGCAUCUUUUUCCCAGGCAACCGGGGUUCCCAGGGUAAAACGGUUUUCCAUUCUGCAGUGAAAUGAAGCCAUUUUUAACUUUGCCCAGAGAGUGUAUUAUAACCUCUUGUCUUGGACUCAGUAACUCAGUCAUGGCUGAAGCCCUUGGCCAGUGACCAUCACCACCAAGUACUCCAGGAAAGAAACCACAUUCGGCGGCAGAGAAAACUAGCCCCUUUAAGUGUGCAGAGAGUGAUUUGAAAUCUGCUCCAAAGUCAAAUUCAAAGGAGUUGGAUCCUUUGUCGUCCCAGGUAUGAGAAAGAUUUUGUGGGAUGGUAAAAUUUCAAGAAUUGCUUUCUGUCAGUUGCAAUGUUCCUUUGUAUACUAACCAGUCUGUGCUAUUUUGUUGCUAUAAAACUUUGUUUCUUUACAAAAAGUGCAACAUUAAUAAUACUAAGUUUAUUGUGUUUGGAGAUUAUUCUUGAUGAUUCUUUUGAAUUGCUCUUUUGUAUGGAAAAAUAUUAACAUUGGCUUCUUUUUUUGUAAUGCACAGCAUGUAUUCAGUUCAUUUAGUCAUGUUGUCUGGGUAGCCCUGAUUCUUCCAUAAUGGGACGAGUUGGAUUCACAAAUGUCCAACACGAUUUUUACUGACUGGCAAACCAAUACAGACAAAGCAAGUCAGUAGAAUGAUUCUGCCACUGAGGCUCAGAUUUAACAACCUUCAUCUCAAAUCACACAUGCCUGGCAUUAAGAUGCCGUCUUACUCUUUUCUCAAUGGUGACUGUCCCUUGAAAAAGGCCACAGUACAGUUUAUAUCCUGUUUUUUUAUUCCAGCAAAUAAGAUUUUUUGCUUUCAUGCAAAGGGUAAGAUGAGAAGAUUGACAUCAAUGCCAUAUCUCUCUAUUAAAUGUGACAGCUUAGCAUAAAGAACACAUUAUAUAUUUAUAUAUACAGUACAUUAUAAGAGCUUGAAGGUUUGAAGUCUUGCAUCCUCCAGGAAGUCACUGCGCUUGGCCAAGAAAUGGUCUGGUAAAGGGCAGUCUUACUCCCAAGUCGUCCCAUAUGAACGGUUGGUCAGGACCCCUUGGUGUCAGUUUUAAAAGUCAUUUUUCAACAUGCAGGGUAGUGCAACCGACUUCCAAUGUUCCCUGCUGCAUUGAAAGUUGAAGCAUGAGUGAACCACACCACAAUCUUUCCCUAGCCUUAGCCAAAGUGCUUUUGUUGCCUAAACCUAACCACAGUCAGGGCUCUGGAUGCGAAACCCGGUCUCUGGUUUGACAAUCAUGUGCUUUGUAAGCCUGCCAAUCACCCCAAAUAUCUAUAACUAAGUCUGCUGCUGUUAAUAAAUGUAGUGCUUCAUUCAUUCAAAAAGUAUGUUGCUCAUACACGCUGGAAAAUGACACUAAAGGCGGGUACCCAGUGUGGUAAAAAGUGAUGCCAAAUGUCCAUACAUGACAAAUUAGGUGAAAGAAUAUAUUAUCUGUCACAGAAUCCCAAAACAGCAAUGUCAUUUUUUCCAGUCUUUCAGUAACAUGAGAGUUGUAUUAAUCCUCCCCUCUCAACUCUCUGCAAAUAAGCAUAUUUUCAAAAAAUAUUUAAGAAUCUUGUUAAACUUUGGUACGAAAGGUCUUCCAUGCAUCUCCACUGUAUUUUACAAAUUAGAAAGUACGCCAUUGAAAAUCUGACAGCAGGACCGAUUAUACCAUGCCAUAUAAAUACAAUUUUUUUUUUUUUUUGCUAGACGAGUGACAUAAAGCAGUUGUGGGACAACAAUAGCUGUCUGUGGAAGAAUCAAUAUUGUAUUGUAUUGAUUUUUUUUCACGCUGAAUCCAUGGCACGGCUAGUGACAACACAAGCUGGUCCAUGGCCCAGAACAAAGUCCAUUACAUCAAACCAUUUUGUUGUUGUUUUAUGUUUGCUACAUUGCAUGCAUUGUGGUUCAUUUUUUUUCUCUGCACUAUUGGACUGUCUAUUGUGUCAACACAUAUGCCAAACAGAGAGAAAUCUUCUUAUCCACCUUCUGGAUUCUAACCGCUGAUUCUAGCGCCCUCUGAAUGGCCCCAUCUUGGACAUCUUGGUUUGUCCAUCAAGUGCUUUCCCUUGUUUUCUUGUAAGUAUUGGCUGUCCUAAUAGUUACGUUACGACAUGGUGGAUUAGGGUUACGGAUUGGAUGACUGAGAUGGUUCAGAAUGUGGAAGUCAAAAACAGACCAACUGUUGAAAAUUGAUAUUCAGCUUUUAUUAAAAUGCAGAAAAAGGACUUAAAAACAUCCACUGAUAAAUUCUGCUAAUUUUAACACAGUUCAGAUGUAAAAUCCUCCCAUUAGUCACUGGAAGAGGAAAAAAGAGUCAUUCAUCCCAGAUUUUACUUUUAAAUAACAUUGGUUUUAUGUGUUUUGAACAACUAAGAAAAAAAGUUUAGGAUUAAGAGAGCGUCGUAUCUUUUGCAUCUUUUAAAUCUUAUCUGGGAUUAAGGAUGAAUAUCUAUGCCGCAGAUUACAUGCCACCUGGAUGUUUUUCAUUGUUUCAGACCAUCGUAGAUUUCAUUUACUUCUACAAAGCAGAAGUGAGUUGGAAUUAAGUCAUGCACUCUUAACCAUUCCUAUGGUUGAAAGUUUAUCAGGCUAUGAUAAAAACCUGACCCAACUUGUUGUUCCAAAGAGGAAGUGAGUUAAAUCGACCGUUCAGCUUUAAAUAAUGGGUUGAUUCAUGAAGCUGUCAUACUUGUGAUAAAAUCAUGAGGAUCUUAUUUGAAAAGUUUGG